CAAAUUUUAAAUCUACCUGGUUUCCAGGUCGAGUUGUAAUUUGAAGAAGUGUUUUUUACUUUCCGGGUUGGGUUAAAUCCUUUGGGAUAAGGUAUCAUGGAGGGUGAGAAUCCCGUGUAUACCAACCGCAGGAUYGUUUAAUAUACACUUUCUAAGAGUCGAGUUGUUUGGGAAUGCAGCUCUAAAUGGGUGGUAAAUUUCACCUAAUGCUAAAUAUAAGCGAGAGACCGAUAGCGAACAAGUACCGUGAGGGAAAGAUGAAAAGAACUUUGAAAAGAGAGUUAAAUAGUACGUGAAAUUGUUGAAAGGGAAACGGUUGAAGUCAGUCAUGCCGGCGGGAAUCAACUUAGGGGAAACUCUGAGUGCACUUCUUCGCUUGGCAGGUUAGCGUCGAUUUUGGAUGUCAUAAAAUGACUGGGGGAAGGUAGCUCUUUCGGGAGUGUUAAGCCCUURGUAGAUGUGAUGUCYGGGAUCGAGGAUUGCAACGGAUACCUUUUGGGCUARCCGCCUAGUCUCUAAUACGAAGUUGGGUUAUGGACAGCACGCUGACUGUGAUCUGAUUUUCGGUUAAAAG
rnacentral:rRNA from 1 species